GACAGAGGGUGCAAACGUUGUUCGGAAUUACUGGGCGUAAAGCGCAUGUAGGCGGCUCGGAAAGUCGGAUGUGAAAGCCCAGGGCUCAACCCUGGAAGUGCACUCGAAACUCCCGAGCUGGAGUCCCGGAGAGGAAGGCGGAAUUCUCGGUGUAGAGGUGAAAUUCGUAGAUAUCUGGAGGAACACCGGUGGCGAAGGCGGCAUCCUGGACCAACACUGACGCUGAGUGAGCGAAAGCCAGGGGAGCAAACGGG
rnacentral:rRNA from 1 species